rnacentral:sRNA from 1 species
UAACUCUCGUAGCGGCGCCAUCUCAUCU